rnacentral:rRNA from 1 species
GGGGAAUAUUGGACAAUGGACCGAGAGUCUGAUCCAGCAAUUCUGUGUGCACGAUGAAGUUUUUCGGAAUGUAAAGUGCUUUCAGUUGGGAAGAAAGAAAUGACGGUACCAACAGAAGAAGUGACGGCUAAAUACGUGCCAGCAGCCGCGGUAAUACGUAUGUCACGAGCGUUAUCCGGAUUUAUUGGGCGUAAAGCGCGUCUAGGUGGUUAUAUAAGUCUGAUGUGAAAAUGCAGGGCUCAACUCUGUAUUGCGUUGGAAACUGUAUAACUAGAGUACUGGAGAGGUAAGCGGAACUACAAGUGUAGAGGUGAAAUUCGUAGAUAUUUGUAGGAAUGCCGAUGGGGAAGCCAGCUUACUGGACAGAUACUGACGCUGAAGCGCGAAAGCGUGGGUAGCAAACAGGAUUAGAUACCCUGGUAGUCCACGCUGUAAACGGUGAUUACUAGGUGUUGGGGGUCGAACCUCAGCGCCCAAGCAAACGCGAUAAGUAAUCCGCCUGGGGAGUACGUACGCAAGUAUG